rnacentral:rRNA from 1 species
CGUCAGCAGUACUCCGAGGAGACAUUAUUGAUUUUUGAAGGAGCUGUUGCUGGCCCUUUAUUGGGUAUGUGCACGCUCCGUUCAAUCCAUCUUACCACUGUGCACUCUUUGUAGGUUGGUCGAAAGGCCUUCCUAUGUCAUUUAUAAACUCUUAAUAGUUUUGGAAUGUUGAUGGCGUAUAACGCAUUUUAAUACAACUUUCAGCAACGGAUCUCUUGGCUCUCGCAUCGAUGAAGAACGCAGCGAAAUGCGAUAAGUAAUGUGAAUUGCAGAAUUCAGUGAAUCAUCGAAUCUUUGAACGCACCUUGCGCUCCUUGGUAUUCCGAGGAGCAUGCCUGUUUGAGUGUCAUGGAAUUCUCAACUCUUCUGUCUUUGUCGAUGGAAGGGCUUGGAUUUGGAGGUGAUUGCUGGCCUGCUCAUGGUCGGCUCCUCUCGAAAAUAUUAGCUUGAACCUCUGUGGAUCAGGUGUUCGGUGUGAUAAUUGUCUACGCCGUUCCUGUGAAGCCUUCAGUGUGGGGAUCGGCUUCCAAUCGUCUUGUUUGCGAGACAAUUUACUUUGACCUCUGACCUCAAAUCAGGCAGGAUUACCCGCUGAACUUAAGCAUAUCAAAAGCCCGGAGGGAA